UAAGGAAUAUUGGUCAAUGGACGCAAGUCUGAACCAGCCAUGCCGCGUGAAGGAUGAAGGUCCUCUGGAUUGUAAACUUCUUUUAUCUGGGACGAAAACGGGAUUUUUAUCUCAAUUGACGGUACCAGAGGAAUAAGCACCGGCUAACUCCGUGCCAGCAGCCGCGGUAAUACGGAGGGUGCGAGCGUUAUCCGGAUUUACUGGGUUUAAAGGGUGCGUAGGUGGGCUUAUAAGUCAGUGGUGAAAUCUCCGAGCUUAACUUGGAAACUGCCGUUGAUACUAUAUAUCUUGAAUACCGUAGAGGUAAGCGGAAUAUGUCAUGUAGCGGUGAAAUGCUUAGAUAUGACAUGGAACACCAAUUGCGAAGGCAGCUUACUAUGCGGUGAUUGACACUGAGGCACGAAAGCGUGGGUAGCAAACA
rnacentral:rRNA from 1 species